GAAACCACUCCGAACCCGCCCGGAAACACUCCGAAAAGACCCGCAAGGUUCAUGUGUGAUGAUAUGCAAUGUAUACAAUGAUCCAAAAAGAAGGGAUUAUACCUUCCAAUAGGUUGGUCUUGGUGGUGAAUGAACAAGAAUGUGUAAUGUGAGGAGUUAGAGAAGAGCAUAAAUUGAGAAGUGGUGGUGACUCUUGGUUUGUGGGCAUUGAUGGUGGAAGAUAGAAGGUGAAGGAGUUGGAGAAGAUGAAAAGUGGAAAGUCUCCAUGGGUGGAGGGGGAAGGAAUCGGCCAUAUGUGUGAGGAAGAAGACAAACAUUUUUGGGCUUGUUCCCAAUUGUUUGGAAAGAAGAAUUGGACUCCCAAAUUAAAUUAAUUGA